rnacentral:rRNA from 1 species
GGCUCAGGACGAACGCUGGCGGCGUGCCUAACACAUGCAAGUCGAGCGGAGAUGAUGUGAGGAAGUUUUCGGAUGGAAUCACAUUAUUUAGCGGCGGACGGGUGAGUAACGCGUGAGCGACCAACCUUGCACAGGGGGAUAACGGACCGAAAGGUUCACUAAUACCGCAUGAGACCACGGUGUUGCAUGACACAGAGGUCAAAGGAGAGAUCCGGUGCAAGACGGGCUCGCGUCCGAUUAGGUAGUUGGAGGGGUAACGGCCCACCAAGCCUAUGAUCGGUAGCCGACCUGAGAGGGUGAUCGGCCACAUUGGAACUGAGAUACGGUCCAAACUCCUACGGGAGGCAGCAGUGGGGAAUAUUGGGCAAUGGGGGGAAAAACCCCCUGACCCAGCAACGCCGCGUGAAGGAAGAAGGUUUUCGGAUUGUAAACUUCUGUCCUUGGUGAAGAGAAGAAGACGGUAGCCAAGGAGGAAGCCCCGGCUAACUACGUGCCAGCAGCCGC